GAUGAAGAACGCAGCGAAAUGCGAUACGUAGUGUGAAUUGCAGAAUUCAGUGAAUCAUCGAAUCUUUGAACGCACAUUGCACCUCUCGGUAUUCCGGGAGGUAUGCCUGUUCGAGCGUCAUUUGUACCCUCAAGCUCUGCUUGGUGUUGGGUGUUUGUUCCGCCUCUGUGUGUGAACUCCCCUCAAAACAAUUGGCAGUCGGCGUACUUGUUUCGGAGCGCAGCACAUUUUGCGAUCCAGAUCAACGUACAGCGGCAUCCAAGAAGCCUUAUUUAACGCUCUUGACCUCGGAUCAGGUAGGGAUACCCGCUGAACUUAAGCAUAUCAAUAAGCGGAGGA
rnacentral:misc_RNA from 1 species